GAUGAACGCUGGCGGCGUGCCUAAUACAUGCAAGUCGAGCGAACAGACGAGGAGCUUGCUCCUCUGACGUUAGCGGCGGACGGGUGAGUAACACGUGGAUAACCUACCUAUAAGACUGGGAUAACUUCGGGAAACCGGAGCUAAUACCGGAUAAUAUAUUGAACCGCAUGGUUCAAUAGUGAAAUACGGUUUUGCUGUCACUUAUAGAUGGAUCCGCGCCGCAUUAGCUAGUUGGUAAGGUAACGGCUUACCAAGGCAACGAUGCGUAGCCGACCUGAGAGGGUGAUCGCCCACCCUGGAACUGAGCCACGGUCCAGACUCCUACGGGAGGCAGCAGUAGGGAAUCUUACGCAAUGGGCGAGAGCCUGACAGAGCAACGCCGCGUGAGUGAUGAAGGUCUUCGGAUCGUAAAACUCUGUUAUUAGGGAAGAACAAAUGUGUAAGUAACUGUGCACGUCUUGACGGUACCUGAUCAGAAGGCCACGGCUAACUACGUG
rnacentral:rRNA from 1 species